GCUUACGGCCAUAUCAGCCUGGGUACGCCCGAUCUCGUCUGAUCUCGGAAGCUAAGCAGGGUCGGGCCUGGUUAGUACUUGGAUGGGAGAGCGCCUGGGAAUACCAGGUGCUGUAAGCA
rnacentral:rRNA from 1 species